CUUGCUCCCGGAUGUUAGCGGCGGACGGGUGAGUAACACGUGGGUAACCUGCCUGUAAGACUGGGAUAACUCCGGGAAACCGGAGCUAAUACCGGAUAGUUCCUUGAACCGCAUGGUUCAAGGAUGAAAGACGGUUUCGGCUGUCACUUACAGAUGGACCCGCGGCGCAUUAGCUAGUUGGUGGGGUAAUGGCUCACCAAGGCGACGAUGCGUAGCCGACCUGAGAGGGUGAUCGGCCACACUGGGACUGAGACACGGCCCAGACUCCUACGGGAGGCAGCAGUAGGGAAUCUUCCGCAAUGGACGAAAGUCUGACGGAGCAACGCCGCGUGAGUGAUGAAGGUUUUCGGAUCGUAAAGCUCUGUUGUUAGGGAAGAACAAGUGCGAGAGUAACUGCUCGCACCUUGACGGUACCUAACCAGAAAGCCACGGCUAACUACGUGCCAGCAGCCGCGGUAAUACGUAGGUGGCAAGCGUUGUCCGGAAUUAUUGGGCGUAAAGGGCUCGCAGGCGGUUUCUUAAGUCUGAUGUGAAAGCCCCCGGCUCAACCGGGGAGGGUCAUUGGAAACUGGGAAACUUGAGUGCAGAAGAGGAGAGUGGAAUUCCACGUGUAGCGGUGAAAUGCGUAGAGAUGUGGAGGAACACCAGUGGCGAAGGCGACUCUCUGGUCUGUAACUGACGCUGAGGAGCGA
rnacentral:rRNA from 1 species